CAAACGAGCCGGACCACAGGCAGCGACAUCGCGCGGGAGGCGGCAUAUCGGCCUAAAGCCUGAGCCUACAUCGUUGCACUGUGGACUUUCUCACUCUCUGAACCCCUCCACCUCUGCCAUGCAGGUUCUCCCCUCCCUCCUCCAUCACAGAAGAUCCUCCUGCCUCUGCCUCCUACGUGCUGGGAUGGACUUUGACUGUUAAUAGCUCCAGUAACACUGAGUGUGGGUGGGCCAGGAAGCAGAAAGAGGAAGAACAGAAUACCAACCAGAGUGAGGCUCAAUGCCAAGAAUUAAUAAGGCGGACAGACUGGCAUGGGCAAACAUAUAUAAUAGCAGGUUUCAGAGCGGAUGACAAAAGUUAUUGUGAGUCAUCAACAUGGGGAUGUGGUUUAAAAAAUAAACAUUGAGAUAGCUCCAGGCUCUGGGAGAAGAAGAGACAUUGGGAAACCCUGUUCCAGAGCACCUAAAUCUUAUUAAUAAUUCCGUGUAGGGUGGGGAAAGUAACUGCAGCGAUUUGGUUCCUGCACAAGAUGAACUCAGUGUUCCUGCUGAAUACUUGUCCUGGUGUGAAGCAGAAUAAGGAGGAAAGCCAGGGAUCUGGGUACAUCUUCUGUUCCGUCACUGUGUGUUUGCACUCCUAUGGGGUAGGUGAUACACAGUUUGAUUCUUGGGUCCUCAUCUCCUCUAACUAGUGUCUGACACCUAUAGGGCCUUAGUAGAUAUUUGCAGAAUGAAAGAACAACCGUUUAAAUCAUUUGUUGUGGGUGUCAUUGAACUGAGACCCUUCACCAAGGCCAUGUGGCAGCCUCCAAGCCCCUAAAAUGAUCCCAAAUUUUCAGGACCUAAGGAGGUCAUUGUUGUAAAAGGUGUUUACUCGUAGCAUGCUGAAUCCAAUCUACACCCGCCAGGCUCAGCCUAGAGUCUCCCUCCCCACCCUGCCCCCCUCUUAUUUCCCUCAACACUACAUCUGAACCUCUGCUGACUCUAAUCUACCUCGGUUAUCCUGGAUUAGACUCAUUACCUGCC
rnacentral:lncRNA from 1 species